ensembl:lncRNA
AUAAACCAGAUGGAGUGGAAGGAGAAGUAAAGGGCAGGGUGAGGAAAUGGAAGCGGGAUCGAACUCGGGACCUUGUGCUUACAAGGCAGACAGUGGAACCACUGAGCUAAAUCCCCGGCCCUGAGGGAUCAAACUUGGGACCCUGCGCUUGCAAGACAGACGUAGGAAACACUGAGCUAAAUCCUCGGCCCUCGGAGGUGAAUUUUGAAGGAACAAACCACAGGUGCCUUCUCUGUUGCUAGCACUUGUCUCCCAACUGCACACACCCUCUCUGGUUCUUGGUGCAAAUGAGUAAGUGGAAAGUCAUCUAAUGCUCUGCUACCGGGUGACAUGUUUUACCAAACACUCCUCUGUUGCUCACCAUAAUUAUCUGUAUUUACGUAUAAGCUGCAUUCUUCUCACCAUCUGUCUCAUUUGGAGGUGGCAGAUUUCCAAAUUCCCUCUCUUUUAUUCAUGUAUAACACAUGACUUAUUCACAGGUGGGAAAGUCAACAGGCUUCUGCCUCAGUCUCCUCAUCUCUAAAGUGGGAUAAUAUCAACCUCACAGAAUUGGCUAGAGGACUACAUGAAUAACAUUUGUAGUGCUUAGAGUGGCAGUGCAAAGUGUUGGCAAAUGCUGUUAUUCUCUCAUCUGAGUCAUCCUGGCCUACUUUCCUGAUUCGUGGAUAGGAAGGGAGAAAAAGGGGUCUGGGCAGGAAAUUCUAAAUUCCUCCGCCCAAUCUCAAUGCUUUCCUAGACAACUCACCCCCUCUCUGUACCUCAUUCCUGAGUAAAUUUCCUUUUCUAUCAUAUUUUCAUCCCAAGAAGUGCCAGGAAGAGUAAUCAGGACAAGAUGUGACUCUUAUGUUUUCUUCUAAUUCUAGACCAGUGGUUUUCAAAUUGUGGCCUGGCAUUCCCAAGAAGCCCAUAGGGCACCCUUCAG